CCUCUAUCAUACGGGAUAUGAAUAUUCGCAGACGGUCUAUUUAAUCUGCCAGAGAAAGCAGGGAAUGUUACAGGCGCAAGGAUUUAAUAUCCAGCCAUUAAAUGCACAGCACACGCCGGUAACCUUAGAAAUUAAAUUAACCCUGUAACACCGAGCCAGAGAUUUAUCCUCCUGGGAACUAGAGUGUCACCUUUUCCUCGACGCCCAAGCCAGCGUUAUAUACACACAUAUCUAAAUAGAACAGAACUUGAGGAGGAAUAUUCAUAUCAAGACAGCAUUUUAAGGUUUUCAUUAUUCCACUAGUGACCCAUGAAAGGGUUAAGCAAUGGCUACGUGCCGAAUGCUAUGAGAAUUAGUCCCUUUAAAGGGUUUUAUAUUGAUGGAGAAGCGAGAGGGUACACAUGGAGAGGUUAUAACCUCAUAAAGUCUGAGAGUGCAAAUACCAUUCAAGGGAGAGACA